rnacentral:tRNA from 1 species
GCUGCGAUGGCCGAGUGGUUAAGGCGUUGGACUUGAAAUCCAAUGGGUAUUACCCGCGCAGGUUCGAAUCCUGUUCGCAGCG